UACAGAGGUCCCAAGCGUUGUUCGGAUUCACUGGGCGUAAAGGGUGCGUAGGUGGCGAGGUAAGUCGGAUGUGAAAGCUCGGAGCUCAACUCCGAAAUGGCAUUGGAAACUACCUUGCUUGAGGGUUGGAGGGGGGACUGGAAUUCUCGGUGUAGCAGUGAAAUGCGUAGAUAUCGAGAGGAACACCAGUGGCGACGGCGAGUCCCUGGACAACACCUGACACUGAGGCACGAAAGCUAGGGGAGCAAACAGG
rnacentral:rRNA from 1 species